rnacentral:rRNA from 1 species
AUACGUAGGGUGCGAGCGUUGUCCGGAAUUACUGGGCGUAAAGAGCUCGUAGGUGGUUUGUCGCGUCGUCUGUGAAAUUCCGGGGCUUAACUCCGGGCGUGCAGGCGAUACGGCCAUAACUUGAGUACUGUAGGGGAGACUGGAAUUCCUGGUGUAGCGGUGAAAUGCGCAGAUAUCAGGAGGAACACCGGUGGCGAAGGCGGGUCUCUGGGCAGUAACUGACGCUGGGGAGCGAAAGCAUGGGUAGCGAACAGGAUUAGAUACCCUGGUAGUCCAUGCCGUAAACGGUGGGCGCUAGGUGUAGGGGUCUUCCACGACUUCUGUGCCGUAGCUAACGCAUUAAGCGCCCCGCCUGGGGAGUACGGCCGCAAGGCUAAAACUCAAAUGAAUUGACGGGG